CUGCAUUUUAUAUAGCAAUAGAUCUGCAGCCUACAUGAAAACCCAGCAGUACCACAAGGCAUUGGAUGAUGCAAUCAAAGCCCGACUCCUCAAUCCCAAAUGGCCAAAGGUCCUUAUAUCAGAGAACUGGGUAAAGCCAUGUGCCCCAAUGAUGGAAGCAAGUGAUCUUAAAGCAUCAAUGCUAAAAUCCUAACAGCAAACAUUAGAAUGGAGGCUUCCAGACCCAGACUGCAGCUACCCAGUAAGGAAUAAGUUUAAGAAGAAUAAGAUUAUUGUCAGUCUUCUUCCAUACCAGCAUUGUAUAAAAUUUUUAAUUGUGCUGACGAGAACAUGAAGAAUUGGCAAGAAUAUAUUUAAAGGCAACUGAAUGAGAAAAGAUCUGGGAAAUACAGGAUGGAAGUGAAGUUAAUUAGAAAUUAAACAAAUAAUGCAUGUUAAAAUAGCAGUUUGUACAUUCAUAUUUAAAUUAA